rnacentral:tRNA from 1 species
GGUUCAUUGGUGUAGUGGUAACAUCUUUGAUUGUCUCUCAAAGGCCACGAGUUCGAUUCUCGUAUGAACCG